rnacentral:rRNA from 1 species
UACGAAGGGGGCUAGCGUUGCUCGGAAUCACUGGGCGUAAAGCGCACGUAGGCGGGUCUUUAAGUCAGGGGGGAAAUCCUGGAGCUCAACUCCAGAACUGCCUUUGAUACUGAAGAUCUUGAGUUCGGGAGAGGUGAGUGGAACUGCGAGUGUAGAGGUGAAAUUCGUAGAUAUUCGCAAGAACACCAGUGGCGAAGGCGGCUCACUGGCCCGAUACUGACGCUGAGGCACGAAAGCGUGGGGAGCAAACAGG